GAUGAACGCUGGCGGCGUGCUUAACACAUGCAAGUCGAACGGAAAGGCCCUGCUUUUGUGGGGUGCUCGAGUGGCGAACGGGUGAGUAACACGUGAGUAACCUGCCCUUGACUUUGGGAUAACUUCAGGAAACUGGGGCUAAUACCGGAUAGGAGCUCCUGCUGCAUGGUGGGGGUUGGAAAGUUUCGGCGGUUGGGGCUGGACUCGCGGCUGAUCAGCCUGUUGGUGGGGUAGUGGCUUACCAAGGCUUUGACGGGUAGCCGGCCUGAGAGGGUGACCGGCCACAUUGGGACUGAGAUACGGCCCAGACUGCUACGGGAGGCAGCAGUGGGGAAUAUUGCACGAUGGGCGGAAGCCUGAUGCAGCAACGCCGGGUGCGGGAUGACGGCCUUCGGGUUGUAAACCGCUUUCGCCUGUGACGAAGCGUGAGUGACGGUAAUGGGUAAAGAAGCACCGGCUAACUACGUG
rnacentral:rRNA from 1 species